GAUGAACGCUGGCGGCGUGCCUAAUACAUGCAAGUCGAGCGAACGGACGAGAAGCUUGCUUCUCUGAUGUUAGCGGCGGACGGGUGAGUAACAUGUGGAUAACCUACCUAUAAGACUGGGAUAACUUCGGGAAACCGGAGCUAAUACCGGAUAAUAUUUUGAACAGCAUGGUUCAAAAGUGAAAGACGGUCUUGCUGUCACUUAUAGAUGGAUCCGCGCUGCAUUAGCUAGUUGUUAAGGUAACGGCUUACCAAGGCAACGAUGGAUAGCCGACCUGAGAGGGUGAUCGCCCACCCGGGAACUGAGACACGGCCCAGACUCCUACGGGAGGCAGCAGUAGGGAAUCUUCCGCAAUGGGCGAAAGCCUGACGGAGCAACGCCGCGGGAGUGAUGAACGUCUUCGGAUCGUAAAGCUCUGUUAUUAGGGAAGAACAUAUGUGUAAGUAGCUGUGCACAUCUUGACGGUACCUAAUCAGAAAGCCACGGCUAACUACGUG
rnacentral:rRNA from 1 species